CCAAGCACUGUAAUUAAGACUAUAGUGACAGACAUCAAAAAAUGUAUAUAAUUUUCAUUUUCUUCAUGCUUAAAACUGUUUCUUUGGUUUUCCAUUGGGUAGUGUUGCGAACAAUUUGGUAAGAUGAAGAGUGUGAAGGAAGAACCAACUUGUAUGGCCGAGUCUCUAGAAUUACUUCCGGAAAACGAACGUCAAUUUUCAGCAAAUACGACGUCAACAUUAAAUAUAAAACGACAAAAUGGGAGCUGAAACGCGGUGGAAUGGAUCAAAGACGAAGGAAAUCAGUGUGACGCAAAUGUACUCAGGAGCAACAAUCUUUCCAUCGACUUCGUUCCACAAUAUACAUUUUUUUUGUUUUAUAUCUAAUACAAGUGCUGCACAAAUUACAUUAUAUAUAUAUACAUAUAUAUACACAUAUAUGAUAUGUGAAUCUUUGACUGGAAAAUAUUUAAGAAGUGAACAGGAUGUCGCGAGUGGGAUGUGACCAUUUGAUGUAUGGAGACGUAUCAUCAACGCCCACUGGUUACCUUUUUCUGAGCUCAAAGUUCGCUUUUACUCGAAUAAAUCAUAAUCCAGAUAAUUUAACUUGGAGAAAAAUACAGAUCUGAAGUCAUUUCUAUAAAAAAGUAGCCACUGAAAUCAAAGCUCCAAAAAUGAUCAUUUCAGUUCGAAACCGGAAGAAUAUUCUUAGCGACAAAGGAUUACUUCGAUUAAAAAUAGAUACGUUCUUCUUUCUCUUGCCAGUCCAUAAAACAGAGCAAUUUUACCCUAGUUUAUAGAGAGAGGUGUCGAGAAACUAUUUCCGUGAAUGGAAAAAACAAUUAACGAAUAAGUGUAUUAAUACAGGCUUGAACUAUAAGUAGCACUUUCUGUGACAGUAAUAUCGUGCAAUAUAGCUUUUGAAGAAAAUUCAUCGGGAAAGUUGAUGAGAGCUGAAUGUUCAAAUACAAAUGUAAGCGUUGUUUUAACACCGAAGGUAAGGAUAUCAAAAGACAAUAAAAAACGAACAGUAAUGCUCAAUUGAUAUCAACUAUAUUCAAAAGGAAAUAUAUGGCAUGUCUUUGUGUCAAUAAACAUAAGAUUCAAGAGAGAUUAAAUGAACCACAAGAUCAUAUAAGCAUAAAAAACAAUCACAACUUGUGUCGAUUAUGUUGUGAUAAGGUUAAUACAUCAGUAGGAUCCCUUAGAUAGGGAGGCAGUUCUGCUCGUUUAGAGACAAUUUAUGCAAGAAUCGCGAGGCACGUUCCGUGACUAGCAUCGAAAUCUCAGUUGUUGCACGGAGAUAUAGUUGAUAUAUGGAAUUAUGCCCUGAUUGGCAUUGAUAGCUGUCAAACGCACAGCUGGAGGCUAUCUGCUUAGAACUAACCUCUUCAGUCUAGUACAUCAGAAAAAGAGCCCAUGGCACAACUUGAAGAUUUAAGGGCCAACAAAGCCUUGAUACGCUAUCACUUACAACUGUAGGUUUGUUCUUUAAUCAUAAAAAAAACAAAGAUGUAUUGCUUGCGUUCCAGCAUCAUUUGGCUAAAGCUUGCUCACAUAUAAUUAAUCAAAUGUAUAAAUAAACAUAAACAAAAUUA